UACGUAGGGUCCGAGCGUUGUCCGGAAUUAUUGGGCGUAAAGGGCGCGUAGGCGGUUUUGUAAGUAGGCUGUGAAAUCUCUGGGCUUAACCCAGAAACUGCAGUCUAGACUACAUGGCUAGAGAUCAGUAGAGGGAGGUGGAAUUCCUGGUGUAGCAGUGAAAUGCGUAGAGAUCAGGAAGAACACCAGUGGCGAAGGCGGCCUCCUGGGCUGUAUCUGACGCUGAGGCGCGAAAGCGUGGGGAGCAAACAGG
rnacentral:rRNA from 1 species